UCUUAGUAGCGGCGAGUGAAGCGGCAAAAGCUCAAAUUUGAAAUCUGGCACUUUCAGUGUCCGAGUUGUAAUUUGAAGAAGGUAUCUUUGGGUCUGGCUCUUGUCUAUGUUUCUUGGAACAGAACGUCACAGAGGGUGAGAAUCCCGUGCGAUGAGAUGACCCAGACCUAUGUAAAGUUCCUUCGAAGAGUCGAGUUGUUUGGGAAUGCAGCUCUAAGUGGGUGGUAAAUUCCAUCUAAAGCUAAAUAUUGGCGAGAGACCGAUAGCGAACAAGUACAGUGAUGGAAAGAUGAAAAGAACUUUGAAAAGAGAGUGAAAAAGUACGUGAAAUUGUUGAAAGGGAAGGGCUUGAGAUCAGACUUGGUAUUUUGUAUGUUACUCUCUCGGGGGUGGCCUCUACAGUUUACCGGGCCAGCAUCAGUUUGGGCGGUAGGACAAUUGCAAAGAAAUGUGGCACUGCCUCGGUAGUGUGUUAUAGUCUUUGUCGAUACUGCCAGCCUAGACUGAGGACUGCGGCUUCGGCCUAGGAUGUUGGCAUAAUGAUCUUAAGUCGCCCGUCUUGAAACACGGACCAAGGAGUCUAACGUCUAUGCGAGUGUUUGGGUGUAAAACCCGUACGCGUAAUGAAAGUGAACGUAGGUAGGACCUCCUUUAGGAGUGCACUAUCGACCGAUCCUGAUGUCUUCGGAUGGAUUUGAGUAAGAGCAUAGCUGUUGGGACCCGAAAGAUGGUGAACUAUGCCUGAAUAGGGUGAAGCCAGAGGAAACUCUGGUGGAGGCUCGUAGCGGNUCUGACGUGCAAAUCGAUCGUCGAAUUUGGGUAUAGGGGCNAAGACUAAUCNAACCAUCUAGUANCUGGU
rnacentral:rRNA from 1 species